rnacentral:rRNA from 1 species
GAUGAACGCUAGCGAUAGGCCUAACACAUGCAAGUCGAGGGGCAGCACAUGAGUAGCAAUACGAUGGUGGCGACCGGCGCACGGGUGAGUAACACGUAUGCAACCUACCUUUAACAGGGGAAUAACCCGUUGAAAAACGGACUAAUACUCCAUAACACAGGGGUCCCGCAUGGGAAUAUUUGUUAAAGAUUUAUCGGUUGAAGAUGGGCAUGCGUUCCAUUAGCUUGUUGGUGAGGUAACGGCUCACCAAGGCCACGAUGGAUAGGGGAACUGAGAGGUUUAUCCCCCACACUGGAACUGAGACACGGUCCAGACUCCUACGGGAGGCAGCAGUGAGGAAUAUUGGUCAAUGGAGGCAACUCUGACCCAGCCAUGCCGCGUGCAGGAAGACGGCCCUACGGGUUGUAAACUGCUUUUAAAUAGGGAGUAAGGUUAGUUACGUGUAACUAAUUGCAAGUACCUAUAGAAUAAGGAUCGGCUAACUCCGUGCCAGCAGCCGCGGUAAACUGU